GAUUCCCACCAUGGGUAUCACACAGUUUCGGUUAUUUAAAGUUUGUACCUGCCUAGCAACAGUAUUCUCAUUCCAAAAGAGAUUAAUACGCAGACCUGGCAGAGGACGGAAAUUAAGUGGAGACCAAAGAACUUUGCCAACUACAGUUGAUUAUUCAUCAGUUCCUAAGCAGACAGAUGUUGAAGAGUGGGCUUCCUGGGAUGAAGAUGCACCCACAAGUGUAAAGAUUGAAGGAGGGAAUGGGAAUGUGGCAACACAGCAAACUGCUUUAGAACAACUGGAACCUGACUAUUUUAAGGACACGACACCAACUAUAAGGAAAACCCAGAAAAUCAUUAUUAAGAACAGAGAACCAUUAAAGUUUGGCAUCCCAGAUGCUAGCAGGGGUUUCUCUAGUAGACUAGCAGUUACACAAGAUAUGCCUUUUAUUCAUCAGUCUCCUGAAUUAGGUGACUUGGAUACCUGGCAGGAAAAUACCAGUGCAUGGGAAAAAGAAGACGAUGGGGCCUGGCAAGCCAAAGAAGUUCUGAGGCAGCAGAAGAGAGAGAAAAGAGAGCAGCAGAACAACAAAGGAAGAAAAUGGAAAAGGAAGCACAGGGGCUAAUGAAGAAAGAACAAAACAAAAUUGGUGUGAAACUUUCAUGACAAAAUGUUCUUCAGAUGUCAAAGUGCCAGUACGGGAAACAUGAGCUCCACAACGCAAGUAACAUUUGUAUGGAGCUAAGAGUAGUUUCAGAAUACGAAUACACGGCUUGAUUUUAAUGCAUUCAUCAGGCCAUGCAGGACACCAGGGUUCUCUCAAAGUCCCUUGAACUCUUGGUGAUUGAGACUCAACAAAAAAAGACUUGUGAGUUAAUAUUUUCUUCAACGUGUUCCAACCAUAUGACAAUUGUUUGCUGUAGAGAAACUAUUACAAAUGGAACAGAUCAGUACCUCUUCAAGCUAGUGUUUCUAGCUAAUUAAAUGGGUGUAAAUUUUAUGGUGGGAAAGAACUCUGCUGUCUAUAAUGCUUUCCUUCAAUGUGCAUAAUGAUAAAGUAAUUUUAAA